rnacentral:snoRNA from 1 species
UUGUCCAUGCCAAUUCCUGCUGGUCACAACUGCACCUUCCAGGCUUUUCUGGUGGACCAAAGCAUAUCAGAAAUCCUCUUUGGGAGCUGAGAUAUGCCUGUGCUGUGGGCUCACAGCCAGCCAGGGUCUCUGAACACAG